CUGUGUCAACUUGCUUUCACUCCUCAGGGCAUGAGCCACGGUGCCACUCUCACCAGGGCUGACACUCAAGGCAGCAGCGCUGAUGUUCCCAAAGGAGGAAGUUGUUGAUGACACACAAGGGUGAAACCUCUUGAUGGGAUUCAACCUGCAGCUGUGGCCUAAUACAAUUGCUGGGACAUACCAGCUCAGGAAAAGUGGUUUCCAGUGGGAGAAAGUAUGCGGAGUAUAUGUUGAGGAUUUAGCAAAUACCAUUACAGCUGUGAAAGAUGAACUCCCAAAGAUCACUAUUAGCCAGUGGGAUCAAAGACAAUUUUGUAAGAGAAGAAAGGAAAUGGACUCUGGUAUGAUCAGAAGCAAAUAAAUUGAAGAUUAACAUCGCCUACAAACUUAAAAAUGACACAUAUAUGAAUGUGCUAUCCAUUUUCAUGCAGCAUCAACAUGAAAAAUUGUUGUCAUGGCAGCAGAUAUGUAGUGAAAAAGCC
rnacentral:lncRNA from 1 species